UAUUUCUAUUAUUUACUUGGAAGUCGUGAUCUAAUUCCGAAUCAUAAGAACGAGUUAAAUUAGAUAUUUAAUUCGUAGAGAGUUAUAACGAAGCGUCGUUAUUUAGUAGAACCCAAUAUUAGUUUUACAAAUACUUGAUUAAUUAAUAUUAAUCAAGCUAGAUGAUUUUUUUUCUAUUAGUAACCUCAAUUCUAUUUACUUUACCAUCAUCAUUAUUCUUUCCAUCACCGCAAAGACCCUCGAAGAAUCCGGCGUCGACAGUGAAGCAUUUAAAAAAAAAAGGUUCGGUUUUGAGAAGAGUCACAUUGUCACAAAGUGAGUAAAGGAAAAGGUGAUGACGCGUAAAGCUGGACGGUAUGCCCAUACCGCCUGAGAUGUCCGAAAUUGAAGACUAAAUUGGCAAGAUGUGUUUUGCGGCUGGAACUUUGACUUGGAGAUCAUUUGGCAACUUUUGACCUUUGUGGCCACACUUUAUUGGCAACUUUUGACCUUUGUGGCUUGAUUUCUCAUGGGACUUGCGCCAUUUUUUUUUCUUAUAUAUAUUACUUGUUGGAAACAUAGAAAUAACACACACACCUAAUCAGCCAAAAAACUCCACCCUUUAAAUCACCAGCUACGAUUCUCCCUUCUUCCUUUAUGCACCAAAAAUCAUAGAGAGUUUAUUUCAGCUGCAAUCUGGACCCCAAGAGUUUAUUCACUCCUGAAUUCAUUAGCACAGCAGCCAACCAAGCACAAAACACACAAGGUCAAGCGCGAGAGUGAGAGCUACUCAAGGAAUCACAGCGCCUUAGAAAAUCUUUGCUAUCAGGUUGAGCUGUGAUGGAUGAUGAAGUGUUGCUGAGUGGAGCUUUUGUCAAAUUGAAAUUAGGCUCAGAAAGGAUAUAUGUCUGCAUACAUGUAUCUCAGUUAUGUUUUCCGCUGCAAACACUGAUUAUGUUUUAGUCAAGUCUAUAACUAUGCCAAUUACUCUUCAAAGAAAUAUCUAAUGCUUACUCGGGUUAAUCGAGUAUCCUUUUUAAUUAUAUGCGUCAAUCCUUCAAAUGUAUUAAAGUUUAUUUCAAGAAUUAAUGCUAGAUAUCAAUGUUUAUAAUCGAGU